GCGUCUUGCCCUUCCUGGGCGUUUCCUCCCUAUAGACUUUAAUGCCGCACCUUCGGGUGCGGCUUUUUUUUGAUCUGA
rnacentral:sRNA from 1 species